rnacentral:lncRNA from 1 species
GGGGAUAGCUCAGGCGUGAGAGUCAGUAUCGGUGUUCACAAGGUUAACAAUGGAGGAUGUAAUGUCUAGUGUAUUGAGAGAGAGAGAUAGAUAUUCUCAGUUGUGUGUAUGCGUAUAUGAAUGUGAACGUACCUGUUUGUGAAGACUUGGUUGAUAGGUUAUACUCUCUUGCCCGGUUUACCGUGCCACCUACUACUAACUGAC